rnacentral:ribozyme from 12 species
GUAUCUUAUUUUUUAAUUCCUUUUUCUUUUUCAUCUUUUUGUACUCCUUACUCUUUUCUUCUUCGCAA